UACGUAGGGUGCGAGCGUUAAUCGGAAUUACUGGGCGUAAAGUGUGCGCAGGCGGCCGCGCAAGUCGAGUGUGAAAGCCCCCGGCUCAACUGGGGAGGGUCACUCGAUACUGAUCGACUUGAAGGUGGGAGAGGGAAGCGGAAUUCCCGGUGUAGUGGUGAAAUGCGUAGAUAUCGGGAGGAACACCAGUGGCGAAGGCGGCUUCUGGCCCAUUCUUGACGCUGAGGCGCGAAAGCUAGGGUAGCAAACGGG
rnacentral:rRNA from 1 species